rnacentral:lncRNA from 1 species
GGCAGGAUUCUUACGUCACACGAAAUUGCCAGGCUACACUUAUGAUCCCAGUAAAUGCCCCAAUGAGAUGGGAGAGGAUACACGGAGGAUAAAACAGGGCCCAAUGGCACCAACUGCUAAUGUGUGUUCCAAAGUUUUCCUGUGCAUAGUUUGCUUUGUACAUAUUUGCUGGUAUAGUGGAUAGAGCAUUUGGCUUGGAGUUAUGAAGAUCUGAGUUUUCAUUUGACUUCAGACAUUUCCUAGUUAUCCCAGCCAAUGAAUGAAAUGGCAGAAAGGAUGGCCCUUGGAAGAUACCCUGAGGACCAAAUGGCCCACAGCAAGUCCAGGAAGGCAAGGUGCAGGUGGAGGAACCUCUGUUCAACCCAGGAGUUCCUUUUUUGACAACCUUAGAGGCAAAAGUGGAAAAGACCAUGGCAAUAGGAAACUAAGUGGUCACGGCAGUGUCUUCUCCCUUCGAAAGACCCAACUGCUGAUGAGGUAGAAAUGGAACGUUGUGGUCUUCUAAUCGUCCUCUGCCGAUUCCUGUGAGGAUGUCUCUUCAGUCUCUUCCUGGAACACACGAGAAGAGAAGAACAAUCAUUAUUCCCUGGGAUGAGCCUUUUAAGGAAAGCCAGAGGUGACUUUCUUCUAUGGAAAUCAUGACUCGAAUUUAUGUUGGCUUUCAAGAAGGAGGAGGCUAAUUGGCAAGCAUCUCCCACUUUCAAGGUUUCUUAAACAAGUGAUUGAAGAAUCAAGGUGUUGUUUUUUCCCAUAGAAGUCAUUAACCUUUGUUGAUUUAACAUGGAACAUAGUGACAGGCAGAAAACGUAAUUGUUUUCAGGCCAAGGAAUGUCAGGAUGAUGUCUGUUUCUUCACCAGUGAGUGUAGGGAAAAAGAAACAAAUGCGUCUCUACCAAGAUUGUUCAAAUUUGGAGUUAUUGGUCAAAACCAAGAAAAGGCAAAAUGAAAGAGGCACGGGAGGACUUUAUUCUUCAGGCAUUAGGCGUAAAAGUAACCUUCCCCCCUUUUCAAAUGGACCCCUAGCCUUUCAUUAAUUAAAAAACCAAAGAGGGUGGAAAAAAACAAACAAGCAAGCAUUUUUUUGGUGUAAAUUAAUUUUUUUUUAAAAAAGAGCCAAAGAGAGUAAAUAAUUUUCUGUCAUUUAAAAUAAAAUGCUGAUCAAGGCUCUGUAACUCUUUCCA